UACGGUGGGGGCAAGCGUUGUUCGGAAUUACUGGGCGUAAAGGGCUCGUAGGCGGCCAACUAAGUCGGAUGUGAAAUCCCCAGGCUCAACUUGGGAACUGCAUCCGAUACUGGAUGGCUUGAAUUCGGGAGAGGGAUGCAGCAUUCCAGGUGUAGCGGUGAAAUGCGUAGAUAUCUGGAGGAAUACCGGUGGCGAAGGCGGCAUCCUGGACCGACAUUGACGCUGAGGAGCGAAAGCUAGGGGAGCAAACGGG
rnacentral:rRNA from 1 species